rnacentral:misc_RNA from 1 species
GUCUUACCACCGGGAUGUUCAUAACCCUUUGUUGUCCGACUCUGUUGCCUCCGGGGCGACCCUGCCUUCGGGCGGGGGCUCCGGGUGGACACUUCAAACUCUUGCGUAACUUUGCAGUCUGAGUAAACUUAAUUAAUAAAUUAAAACUUUUAACAACGGAUCUCUUGGUUCUGGCAUCGAUGAAGAACGCAGCGAAAUGCGAUAAGUAAUGUGAAUUGCAGAAUUCAGUGAAUCAUCGAAUCUUUGAACGCACAUUGCGCCCCCUGGUAUUCCGGGGGGCAUGCCUGUUCGAGCGUCAUUUCACCACUCAAGCCUCGCUUGGUAUUGGGCAACGCGGUCCGCCGCGUGCCUCAAAUCGACCGGCUGGGUCUUCUGUCCCCUAAGCGUUGUGGAAACUAUUCGCUAAAGGGUGUUCGGGAGGCUACGCCGUAAAACAACCCCAUUUCUAAGGUUGACCUCGGAUCAGGUAGGGAUA